GGCGUAUUUUGCGCAGGCGGAGCUCGACCGCCCGUUUCGGAAAUGAUUGCUUUUAUCAAAGAACAUCGUGGGGUGUGUGGGGUCGAGCCGAUCUGCCGUGUUUUACAGAUCGCCCCU
rfam:Pelagicola litorisediminis strain CECT 8287 genome assembly, contig: 0021